AUACCUUUCUCGGUGUAUUGGUUAAGAUCAACGUGUAGCAGUAGUAUCGAUUCUUAUCAAUUUAAUGUUUGAUACGUGAAUCAUUGACUCACACGAUACCUAUCUAUCGAGGUCCUUGGCAUUUGAAUAUUGCCUUGGAGAUAUCAUCCCAAAUACAAAUUAAUGCCAACUUGAAGGAUUAAUUAACAAAACCUAU